rnacentral:rRNA from 1 species
UACGUAGGGGGCAAGCGUUGUUCGGAAUCACUGGGCGUAAAGGGAGCGUAGGUGGGAGAUUAAGUUAGGAGUUUAAAUCGCGGGCUUAACCCGAGAGCGGCUCCUAAUACUGGUCUUCUUGAGUACGGGAGAGGGAGAUGGAAUUCCAGGUGUAGCGGUGGAAUGCGUAGAUAUCUGGAAGAACACCAGUUGCGAAGGCGGUCUCCUGGUCCGAUACUGACACUGAGGCUCGAAAGCUAGGGGAGCAAACAGG